AUGAAGUUGGCACUGGACUUUGGAAUUGAUUCUGGACCCCCACCUGCUCAGGACGCCCCGCCUGCUCAGGACGAUCCCAUUACGGAUUUUCUGGAGGGGGACACGCUUGACCCAGCGCAAAAACGGGAAUUCAGAAAUAUUCUGAAUUUCUUGAAGACCAAAAGCAGAACGAACCUUCAAAAUGAGCGAAUCGUAAUAAAAAGAUGUUGGGGGGGCGAGGGUAGUAGUUACGAAUCCAGGGCAAUCAACCACUAUCUAAAAACCCAGGUUGGACAACUGCGUGCUGGGGGAUUAGCAGGGGAUUUUGUCAUAAAGGAAUUACGGAAAUGGAAAAGGGACUUCAAAGCUCAGAAGAGACGGUCCCACUUCUAUCAGGGCCUUCUCGGGGUCUUGAGCAAUGUUAAUUUGCAUUGA
rnacentral:rRNA from 1 species